rnacentral:rRNA from 1 species
UAGGGAAUUUUCCACAAUGGACGAAAGUCUGAUGGAGCAACGCCGCGUGCAGGAUGAAUGCCUUAGGGUUGUAAACUGCUUUUAUCUGUGACGAAUAUGACGGUAGCAGAUGAAUAAGGAUCGGCUAACUCCGUGCCAGCAGCCGCGGUCAUACGGAGGAUCCAAGCGUUAUCCGGAAUUACUGGGCGUAAAGAGUUGCGUAGGUGGCAUUGUAAGUCGGUAGUGAAAGCGUGUGGCUCAACCAUAUACACAUUAUCGAAACUGCAAAGCUAGAGGAUGAGAGAGGUUAUUGGAAUUCCCAGUGUAGGAGUGAAAUCCGUAGAUAUUGGGAGGAACACCGAUGGCGUAGGCAGAUAACUGGCUCAUUCCUGACACUAAGGCACGAAAGCGUGGGGAGCAAACGGGAUUAGAUACCCCCGUAGUCC